rnacentral:rRNA from 1 species
AUUGAACGCUGGCGGCAGGCCUAACACAUGCAAGUCGAGCGAGCGGCGGACGGGUGAGUAAUGUCUGGGAAACUGCCUGAUGGAGGGGGAUAACUACUGGAAACGGUAGCUAAUACCGCAUACCAUCAGAUGUGCCCAGAUGGGAUUAGCUAGUAGUGGGGGUAACGGCUCACCUAGGCGACGAUCCCUCGCUGGUCUGAGCGGAUGACCAGCCACACUGGAACUGGUCCACGGUCCCAACUCCGACGUGAGGCAGCAGUGGGGAAUAUUGCACAAUGGGCGCAAGCCUGAUGCAGCCAUGCCGCGUGUGUGAAGAAGGCCUUCUGGUUUUAAAGCACUUUCAGCGGGGAGGCGUUACCCGCAGAAGAAGCACCGGCUAACUCCGUGCCAGCAGCCGCGGUAAUAC